GUUCACCUCUCUACAGCCGCUAGUCUUCCAACCAGCUCCUUCUGGGAGACCGGUUCUUUGCUCAGGGCCUCCCUGCAUCAGAGAAAAAUGAGUGAUGUGCCUGCUCAUCUCGGUGACCUUCUUGUCCCUAAGUGACCUCGUCUCUCAGUGGCCUCUUCUCAGCUAAGGAAGGCACCCCCCAGAAUCCACCUAGGGAGGAGUAGCUGCCAGACAAGGAGACCGGAAUCUCCACCUUUACAUUGACGCGUAGCUGGGGCAAGAGCAGAGCUCAGCUCAUUCAUGGAGAGAGCCACCACUCAGGGACAAGCUAUGAGAAGAAAUGUCACCAACCAGGCACCCGGAGAAACCCACAUGCCUACGACUGCCUCAGCCUAUGCAAUGGGUAUUAGGCCUGCCUAUAGUCUCUGGGGCGGUGUGAGGAAAGGAUACCUAACCGAUCCAUUCCUGAGCUCCGCCACCAGUGUCUCCUAUGUUGCCUACAAAGUUGGAACCAUCCCGAUACCAACUUGCCCACUCCCCAUUGCUUUCACAUGGGUACCCUUGGGCUAUAAUAUGAGGCAGGCUGUUGCCAUGCCCUCUAUUUGGUCCAGGCAGGCCACCGACUUCUAUCACCAACUCGAGAGCCAGUGCCCAGAUGCCGUGGCACCCAACGCAUUUCCCUGCAGUCUCAAGGCGAUCUUACCCUCAUCCCUUUAGACUUUCCCUCUUUUGCUAAUGACAUUUUCAGCCAUUGUCCCCAAGUUCAGUACUAGAUUCUAACCUGCCUGGAAGGGUAGAAGAGGCCUUGGGAUGCUAUGUGAGCGGCCCAGAUACCUGUAGGCCCAGCCCUCAAAUGUUUGCCCCUUCAACCCAGCAACUCCAACUGCCUGCCCUGCAGAAUCCACUGCGACCCCUUGGAGCAGCUGGUGGGGUGUUCAGAGCUGGAGACGCCCCAGUCCCACACUGUACCCUUCAAGCCAGCAGCCAGCCUUUACUGCCUGAAGGAUCUCACCCAUAAUGCCCCACUUCCCCAUCCUCAGGUGCCUUCCCAGCCUCCAAGGGGACCCCAUUGGUUCUUUUGUUUUUCUCUUUUGUUCUUCUGAACUCAUUGUUGGCACCUUUUCUCUGGGCUUCUGAUCUGGACCAGUUCUCACUUGUCAUCUACCUGGGCAGAUACAUUUUGUGUAUAUAUUUUUUUUUUUUAAACUACACAACCACUAGGCUGAGACACCUGUAAACUAUCAGGAUCCACCACCUACACUAGGCCCUCUUUUGCAUAGAAAUGGAUCUCGCUGUUGAGUACCUGGUCAUCCUGUGUACUACUGAGUCCCCAGUGCUUAUACAUGAAUGCCCUGGGACAGUUAACUCAGGUGGCUUCUUCCUGUGCCCUCAGUGUGGUCAAGGGAGGCCACCAGCUUUUAUCACCAACUCGAGAGCCAGUGCCCAGAUACCAUGGAGUCUGAUAUGUUGCCUUGUUUCAUGGGAUCCCCACCCCCACCCCCUCAGGCUUUCCAAGCCUCUGCCCAGUCCCCUUUCCUCAGAGAACGUCCUUUACUCCCUGGCUGCCAUGUAGUGUCCCCAGAGCAUCCUGGGGCUCCAGAACCCAGCAGGCACGCCCUGAAAUCUCUUCAAAAGCCCCACUUAAUGGAGGAUGGACUUGGGGCAGGGGUAGGGGUGGAGGGGAGACAGGAGCCACAAGUUCACUGCGCACACACACACACACACCACGUUGUUUCCUUUCAAGAGCUGUGACAUGUGACAUGGUCUC
ensembl:lincRNA Gm1965 predicted gene 1965